rnacentral:rRNA from 1 species
GCGGCCUAUCAGCUUGUUGGUGGGGUGAUGGCCUACCAAGGCGACGACGGGUAGCCGGCCUGAGAGGGCGACCGGCCACACUGGGACUGAGACACGGCCCAGACUCCUACGGGAGGCAGCAGUGGGGAAUAUUGCACAAUGGGCGGAAGCCUGAUGCAGCGACGCCGCGUGAGGGAUGACGGCCUUCGGGUUGUAAACCUCUUUCAGCAGGGACGAAGCGCAAGUGACGGUACCUGCAGAAGAAGCGCCGGCCAACUACGUGCCAGCAGCCGCGGUAAGACGUAGGGCGCGAGCGUUGUCCGGAUUUAUUGGGCGUAAAGAGCUCGUAGGCGGCUUGUCGCGUCGACUGUGAAAUCCCGCGGCUCAACUGCGGGUCUGCAGUCGAUACGGGCAGGCUAGAGUUCGGUAGGGGAGACUGGAAUUCCCGGUGUAGCGGUGAAAUGCGCAGAUAUCAGGAGGAACACCGAUGGCGAAGGCAGGUCUCUGGGCCGAUACUGACGCUGAGGAGCGAAAGCGUGGGGAGCGAACAGGAUUAGAUACCCUGGUAGUCCACGCUGUAAACGUUGGGCGCUAGGUGUGGGGGACCUCUCCGGUUCUCUGUGCCGCAGCUAACGCAUUAAGCGCCCCGCCUGGGGAGUACGG